rnacentral:rRNA from 1 species
CGAUAACGAACGAGACCUUAACCUGCUAAAUAGCCCGUAUUGCUUUGGCAGUACGCCGGCUUCUUAGAGGGACUAUCGGCUCAAGCCGAUGGAAGUUUGAGGCAAUAACAGGUCUGUGAUGCCCUUAGAUGUUCUGGGCCGCACGCGCGCUACACUGACAGAGCCAGCGAGUACUCCCUUGGCCGGAAGGCCCGGGUAAUCUUGUUAAACUCUGCCGUGCUGGGGAUAGAGCAUUGCAAUUAUUGCUCUUCAACGAGGAAUCCCUAGUAAGCGCAAGUCAUCAGCUUGCGUUGAUUACGUCCCUGCCCUUUGUACACACCGCCCGUCGCUACUACCGAUUGAAUGGCU